UGCAGUUUCUCAGCGUCUGGGCACACAGGCUGAACGGAGCCAAGGUGCGCCCUUCUCGUGUUACAGGUCCUCCCACUGCGAGCGCUCACAUCCCUGUGCCAGCCCUGUGAUGGAUGGAAGCCGCUCAUUUGUUUUAGGAGGUGCAGACUGCUUGACUCUGCUGUAUGAGUGCUGCGCCCGCCUCGGGGCAAACUGCUGAGUUUUUAAUCCUCCUCCGGCCCCUGACUGGAUUGUACACACUGUUCUGGUCCAGGGCGCAGCCUGCAGUGGCUGGUAUGAUGCCAGACGUCUCUGGUUUCCUCGGACCAGUGACACAUUUGGCCCCCCCGCGCUGGACUAAACCACGCUGAGAUGAGGCGGAGGGGGCCUGAUGGAGGGGCUUUACAGCUUGAAUGGUCGCCUGCCACCUGCCUCCCGUCAGCAUCCCACCCGCGUCCCGUCCAGGACCCCCGCUACACAGCCAGACUGCUGCAAUUUGGGAAGUUGAGGCAGAGAGUACCGAGCCAGUGAACCAAGAGAGAACGAGGGAUGCCUUUUGAAGACAUGCAGACAGACGUUAAGGCAUGCUGUAUGGCCGGCCUUGGAGGGGAUGCUGGGGGCCUUGGCUCUGGCUGAGGAAUGCAUCACCAGGGGCUUGAAAACCAAAUCCUUACACCCCCACCCUUUUUGAUGCGUCCCUGCUGCACAGGAAAUUGAUGAGCUUGCAGGAAAUGAUAAGUGAGCCAGCUAAGGGUUUCUGGCCAGAUGACUACGAACCCAGGCCGAGGUUUGCUGGCAUGAAUACAUUCGUUUUCACAUAAUGUACCAUGAGGCUUGUGCUACUUAAACAUGUGUACAGUACAAAUUUUGCAUGUGUGUAGCCCACAAAGCUCAUUAAAACAACUGCAUUAUGAAGCAGUUAUAAAACAAAAUGCAUCGCUCCCCGAGUUCAUCGUAAGCAGUCAUCGUAGGUUGCAAAGCUGUUUGGGUUACUGCAGCAAUGCAGUGUUAACUCACAUGGCCCUUGCACUGUACGGUACCAUUACUGACUUUAUCUGAGAAGAAUUUACAGCCCAUAUGGCUGGUGACACAACGUGAACUCCUUGUUUCAAGUAAAACCGCAAGAUGCAGUAAAAGUCCAGCCACAUGAAUGCAUACAAAUUCAGCAUUAGCACAUUGCUAAUUAUUUCAGAGCAAUUUUAUAAAACCUUACCUUGACAUAUAAAGUCAGAAGCUGUAAAGAGAGGUCUUGCAAAUGCAUUAAGCGGUGUGCUUCAUUUCUGUAAUUAGGGACCCUAACCCUAACCCUGACAUACAUAAGGAGAUACCCUCAGAGACUGAAAUAGGCCACUGAACUCAGAUGAUAGGAAAGUGCUGGAUGGAGCCCUGUCUUUUCGGUUUGGAAAGUGAACACAGACGCUAGGCUGGACGGCCAGCCCCAGACGGGCUCGCGGGUUUGUUUUGCAGUGAAAUCGGCGCAGCUGCUCUGCCCGGGUCUGCUCUGCUCUGAUC